ACAGACGCUAGCUACUGUCAAAGUCUAAUCUGUCACUGUCGAACGUGUAUUACGAUGCAGGAACAGCAAACGCCAACAAGAUUUCUUAACGAGUGUUUUAUAUCAGCCUUGAUGUUUGCCUGUUGUGUUGAGUAAUAAUAGUUUAAGUACAGCCACGGUUUUGUGUAUAUAAAAGUAACAUUACUUAGCUACCUAACGUUUCUUUCCAUGUAGUAACAUGUUAUAGAUUUGAUGAUGCGAGUAAACCCAGUACAAUUGAAGCUUAAUGAAUUUGUAUGUGUUAUUUCAUUCAGUGUCCAAUAAAGACAAGCUGACAGUGCAGGUCAGCGUGAGAGCCUUGUGCUACAGGUCGAUGGGGAAGAGCGAGGCACCACAGUUUGAGUCUAGGCAGGAAGCUGUGUUCAUCCCUGUUCAGUGGUGUUUGUUUGGUUAAGCAGUAGCUAAGUGUAGUCCUCAAGGGCCACCAACUUGAAUGUUUUUCAUGUCUCCCUGUUUUUCACACACAAUUUAAUAUAGUCAAGGUAAUGAGUACAAGGCUACAACUUUUCAAUAAACAAGAAUAUUUAUUGUCGUUUGCACAGCAGAAGUACAGGUACAUUGGAAUAAUUGUGAUUAUAGGAGUCCGCUUUAAAAAAAAACACAUCUUUAUUUUAAGAGGGAGAGAAUAUAACAGUAAGCAUUCAGGGUGUUAGGCUUUUUCUAGCACAGUUGAAGUACUUACCUUCAUAAGAAACAAGUUGUUUUUGACACCCAUGAUGCUGAGGUUAUAUUUCUAAUGAUUUACCUUUUUCUCUUAGAUCAAGCUUUGUGAUUCAUCAGCCAAGGGAUGAAAAAAGAAAGAGUUAAUCUAUGGGCUGGAGCAGCUGUCUCUGAGAGGAAAAGAAAAAAACAUCAGUCACCUCCCUUUUACCUGUAUUGUGACUUGUGCCACUACGCAACGGUUGCUCUACCGGAUGGCGUCGUAACUAAUCCCUGGCACUCAGCUGACAGAGUAGUGUUCUUGUCCGGGCCGUAUCUUUGGGAGGCGCGGUUUGGUGGUUUGCCGUGUACUUGUGUGUAGAUAAGUAGGGUGUUACCUGCUCAAUUCAUACAUUUUUACAAUUGUUUAUUAAUAGUAUUUUGUUCUAGGACCAGCAUUGGUGGAGUUGGAGACGGUCACAUUCUGGCGCUGGCGCUUCAGUGCUCCUAUUUUCAUCUCAUAGAAUAAUAACACAACUUUUUUCAACCAUUUAAAAAUAAACUUUUGUAGACUUGAACUGGAAACACGUCUCUGUAAGUCUUUACACAAAUCUGUAUCAUAAAUGUUGUUUGUUUUUGUACUAUUGGUGUGGUCACAUUCAUAUAUAUAAAUUCUGAUAAGACAUGGACAUCCCCAACUCCAAUUACACCAUCUCUCAACAUGCCACUACUUGUGUCCUAUUAAUCAUUCACAGACCUAUUAAGAAAUAAUUUGG